rnacentral:tRNA from 1 species
GCCCAGUUAGCUCAUUUGGUAGAGCAUGAGAUUACCAGAGUCAUGGGUUCUUGCCCCACACUGGGCG